AGCAGUGUGGUGUAUCGUGCACACGGGGUCCAGAUACAUCGUCGGUAUACAUUCUUACCCCGAGGUCCUUGUUCGACUCAAGGUGCUGCUC